CGAGCUGCAACGGGCGCGAGCUGAGCAUGAGCAGUUGAGUGGCCACUGCGGCAACCCUGGGCGUUCCCUCUGCAGUCUGUAGGUGGCUCGUCUGCAGUCGCAGUCGCAGCUCCAGCUCGAACCUCGCGACGGCCGGUCUUCGCGCGGCCUCGGCUCCGGCCCCGGCCUCAGCCUCCCGGCGCGGCUCGCAGCGGCGGCGGCGGCGGCUCCCGCUCGACGGCCCCGGGCCGCCCCAGCACCCCGGACAGCGGCGCCUCCUGCCGGGACCCGGCCGUCUCCCCCCAUCCCCGCCGGGCUCGCGGCCCGCUGCCCUGAGGGCCCCAGGUACUGGACAGGCUGGAGGGGGGAAAGGGUGAACCUGGCGAGGUUUCGGCCGGUCUUAAAGAGCCUCGCGGCCCAACUCGUUCGUGCUCUUUCCUCACUCCUCCUAUCCAAUACAGCCCAGUGGGCAUUUAUUAACCACCUACUAUGUGCGAGGGCUUGGGGUGGCUCACCCCUCCCCCUCGAAGGCGGCCAUGCGGCAGGUACGCAGAUAAGUAUUUCCUUGAUGAAUAUAGUAGAUGCUUAAUAAAUGCUUGUUGAAUGAGUGAGUAGACGAACGAACGAACGAAUGAAUGAAUGAAUGAAUGAACAGGUAGGCUGCAGCUAGAUGGCGAACGGCUGGUCCGGGGCGGAGGUAAGGAGGACCUGAGCUUGUAACGGAGGGGGAGGGGGAGGGAAAGGGGGACCUCUAUGUGAAAUAUUGUGGGGGUAGAAUCGAUCAUAUUUGACAAUUGAUUAGUUAUGUGGGGUGAGGGAGGGGAGGGGCAGAGUCUAGGAUGAGCCUGGAAGAAUUAUGGAUGACCUCAUAGAGGGAAGACUGAAGGAACCCUAGGGUUCCCGGGAAGGGGGUCGGGAGAAGAAAUACGUCGAAUUUGAGAUGCGUAGACGCCAUCGAGGCGCAAAUGGCCCCCGAUUUGGUGAAAAAGAGCCAGUCAUGUGGGCUUGACAGUCAGUCUAUGGAGUCUUCGCUAGAAUGACUGCGUAGAAAUCAUCUGGUGGGAGGGGCCGAGGUCGGGAAGAUCGAAGGGGAUCCGGAGCACAUUUUGGGGAGACAGCCAUGAUUAGGGGAGCAUGAAAUGGAGGAAACAGCAGCACUGUGCAAUGGAAAGAAUGUGGACGGGGCUGUCUCACCUGAUCCUCACAACCACCCUGGGAGGUAGGUGCUAUUAACAUCUCCAUUUUACAGAUGAGGAAACUGAGGCAAACCGAAGUGAUUUGCCCCAAUCACGUAGCUAAUAAGUGUCUGAGGUAAGAUUUAAACUCAUGUUUUCCUGACUCGAGGAUUGAUGCUCUAUCCACUCUGACACCUAAUUCCAGUUAUUAUGAAUAAUAAAACAGUCAUACAUUAAUUAUAUUAAUUAUAACAGAUCCACAUGUUAAAGAAUAUAUAAUAAUUAUUUUUAUGGCAGCUCAGCUUUAAUUCUCAUUACAAAUAAAACAGGUGGAUUUUUUUUUCCUUUCUAACCCUUGUGGGGAUCAAGAAGAGAGAGCCAAUGUUGAGGAUGGAAGGCUCUGAUAACAACAUUACUGCUUUUGUAUCCACUUGGGAGGAGGUCUCCAGUGGAGGGCCCCAGAGAUCUGGGCUGCUAAUUAACAAUUUAAAAAAAUUUUUUUUUAAUCAGUGACUUGGAUAAAGGUAUAGAUGGGAGAGAGGGCUGACACUCUGGGUGACAAGAUCUCCAAAGAUCUAGCUAGGCUGGAACACUGGUCUGACUUGAAAAAGUAUUACACUGGGGCUCUAGACGUCACCUUGCCAAGCACAAACCGAGACAGCAGUUUGUCUGAAAAAGAGCUGCAGACUUGGUAUAUUGCCAGCUCACUAUGAGUCAGCAGUGGUGGGACCACUUCUGGCACCCUAGGGAGUAGUGGGACAUGAAUAAAAUGGAGGAUGUCCAGUGGAGGGCGAUCUACAAAGCAAAAGGCCUUUGCCACGAGAAUCCCUUGAAGUCCAUGGGCACGAUCAGGUUAAAGGAGAGAAUUCUGUGGGGAGGGGAAGAUGAUGACGACUGUCUUCAGCUGUUAGAAAGGCUCUUGGGUGGGGGGGCGGGGAGGGAUUGAAUUUGUUUUGAUUGAUCCUUGCGGCUGAACCUAAACAAUGGGGGAAAUGACAAAUAAGCCAAUUGAAAGCUGAUGAUUCCUAACGAUUAAGAGCUAUUGAUAAGUAGAUGACAAGUGGCUGCCCUGAAAAGUCUUGUAAGUGAAGCCCAUUUUGGCUUUUCUUGGCAGAGAUUCCUCAGUGGCUUGCCAUCGCCUUCUCAUUUUACAGAUAAGGAAACUGAAACCCCCUUCCCCCCCCCCCCCCCCGGGUUAAGGGACUAGAGCAGAAUCACACAGACAGUAAGGGGAUGAGACCCAAUUUCCAAGUUUUCUCUUAGGAGCUCUCUUUCUUUCUCUCUUCCCCCAUUUGAAGUCUUUAAAACAGGUUGGAUGACUACAUGUGCAGUAUGGUAUAGUUUUAUAGGAGCAAUUUCUUUUUGGGGGGUUAAAGGUUAGAUUAGGAUUAGGAUCAAAGGAUCAUCAAUUUAGAGCUAGAAGGGACCUCAGAGGCCAAGAAAGAAGCACUUAUUAAGCACCAUCUACAUGCCAGGCACUGUGUGGAGCACUCUACAAAUAUGUUAUCACUCGCCUUAAGAGAACCAAGGGAAUAAGGUGCUAUUUUGAUCCAAUAAAAAAAUUGAAAAAAAUAAAAGCAGACAGAAUGAAGUGACUUGUCCAGUCACAUAACUGUUAAGUGCCUGAGGCUAGAUUUGAACUCCUAUCUUCCUGACUCCACAUCCAGCGCUAGACUAGAGGGCUGUUGAUAUCCCUUCCAGCUCUAAAAUUCGAUGAUGACCUUGCAAAGGGCCCUCGGACAGAACGGCUAGGGGGCGGCUGGGUGGAGCCCGGAAAGAACAAUGUCAUGGCACAAAAAUGCAGGGAGGAGAAAAUAGCCUGGAGGGAGGAGCCAUCACCCGCUGUCCUAUAGAGCAGGCUGUGGACCCGGAGCAGGUAAAGGACUGCUGGUAACCAUGGAGACAGCUGUUGCCAUGGAGCGCCCAGGUCUGAAGGCAGAAUACCAUGGAUUGAGAUGUGAGUGAUAAAUGAGAGAGAAGGACGGGAAAGAAAGAGGAGGAGGUGGGAGGGAGGGAGCGACAGACACACACACACAGACAGAGACACACGGAUACAAAGAGAAGGAGACAGGGAAGAGAAGAUGACGACAUUGAAAAAAAGAGAAGGAAAGGAGAGGGGAGAGACAGAGACAGACAAGCACAGGGACAGAAAGACAAACAAUUACACAGAGAGACAAGCAUGAGACAGACAAGUACAGAGAGACAGUCAAGCAGAGACAGAGAAACAGAUGAGCAGAGAGACAGAGAUAGACAAGCACAGACAGAUACAGAGACAGUCAAGCACAGAGACACAGAGACAGCCAGUUAAGCACAAAAUCAGAUAGAUAUAGCAGAGAGACAGAUGAGCACACAGACAGAGAAGCAUAGAGACAGAUAGAUGAGUAGAGAGACAGACAAGUACAAAGACAAAGAGACAGCUAACCAAGCAAAGAGACAGAUGAGCAGAGAUAGAGAGACAGAUGAGCACAGAGAUGGAGAGAGACAUGAGCACAGAGACAGACAAGCAGAGAGAUAGACAAGCAUAGAGACAAAGGAGACAGCCAAGCACAGAGAGAGACAGAUGAGCAGAGACACAGAGAUUAACACAGAUAUAGAGACAGAUGAGCAGAGAGACAAACAAGCAGAUAGACAAAACACAGAGACACAGAGGGACAGCCAAGUACAGAGAGAGACAGAUGAGCAGAGAUAGAGAGAUUAACACAGAGAUAGAGACAAGAUGAGCAAAGAUAUAGACAAGCAGAGACAUACAGACAGCCAAGCACAGAGAGAGACAGACAAGCAGAUAAACAAACAGAGACACAGAGGGACAGCCAAGCACAGAGAGAGAUGAGCACAGAGACAGAGAGCUUAACACAGAGAUAGAGACAGAUGAGCAGAGAGAUAGACAAGCAGAGACACAGACAGCCAAGCACAGAGAGAGACAGAUGAGUGUAGAGAUAGAGAAAGAGGCAGAUGAGCACAGAGACAGAUUAACACAGAGAUAGACAGAUAAGCAGAGAGAUAGACAAGCCCAGAGAGACAGCCAAGUACAGAGACAGAGAGAUGAGCAUAGACAGAGACAGACGAACAGACAAGUACAGAGAGAGAGAUAGACAGACAGAUGAACAGAGAGAGACAGUCAAGCACAGAGACACAAAGACAGCCAGCCAAGCACAGAAUCAGAUAGAUAUAGCAGAGAGACAGACAGACAAGCACAGAGAUAGACAAGCACAGAAAUAGAGACGGCCAAGCAUAGAGACACACAGAUGAGCACAGAGACACAGAGAAGAGACAGAUGAGCACAGAGACAGACAAAUGAGCAGAGAGAAACAGAUGAGCAGAGAAACAAGCAGAGAGAUAGACAAGCACAGAGACAGAGAGAUAGAUGAGCACGGAGACAGAUGAGCGCAGAGAGAGAGAAACAGAUGAGCCGAGAAACAAGCAGAGAGAUAGACAAGCACAGAGACAGACAGAUGAGCACAGAGACAGAGAGAUAGAUGAGGACAGAGACAGACAGAUGAGCACACAGAGAGAAAGAUGAGCAGAGAAAUAAGACAGUCAAGCACAGAGACAGAGACAGCCAAGUACAGAGACAGAUGAGCAGAGACAGAUAAAUGAGCAGAGAGAGAGACAGAUGAGCAGAGAGACAAGCAGAGAAACAAUCAAGUAUAGAGACAAGAGAUAGCCAGCCAAGCACAGAGACAGAGAUAGACAAGCACAGAGACAGAGACAGACAAGCAGAUAGAUAGACAAGCACAGAGACAGAGACAGACAAGCAGAUAGAUGGACAAGCACAGAGACAGACAAGCAGAUAGAUAGACAAGCACAGAGACAGAGAGACAGACAAGCAGAUAGAUAGACAAGCACAGAGACAGAGAGACAGACAAGCAGAUAGAUAGACAAGCACAGAGACAGAGAGACAAACAAGCAGAUAGACAAGCACAGAGACAGCCAGCCAAGCAUAAUUAUAUAGAUGAGCAGAGAGAGACAGAGACAAACAAGCAGAGAGAUAGACAAGUACAGAGGCAGAGACAGCCAACCAAGCACAGAGACAGCCAAGCAGAGAGAGACAUGAAUAGACAGAUAGACAAGCACAGAGACACACAAGUGAGGACAGAGACAGAUGAGCAGAGAGAGUUAGACAAGCACAGAGACAGAUGAGCAGAGAAAGAGAUGGACAAGCACAGAGACACACAAGUGAGCACAGAGAUAGAGACAGAUGAGCAGAGAGAUAGACAAGCACAGAGAGAUGAGCACAGACAGACAAAUGAGCAGAGAGACAGUCAAGUACAGAGACAGCCAGUCAAACACAGAGACACAGAGAGAGACAGACAGAUGAGCAGAUAGACAAGCACAGAGACAGAGACAGCCAGCCAAGCAGAGACAGAUAAUCAGAGAGAAAUGAGCAGAGAUAGAUGAUCACAGAGACAGAUAAGGAAAGAGACAGCCAAGCACAGAGACAGAGAGAUAGAUGAGCAGAGACACAGCCAAACACAGACACACAGAGAGAAAUAGCCAGCCAAGCAUACAGACAGAGACGUGAACAGACAGCCAGCCGAGCACAGAGACAGAGAGACAGCCCAGCACAGAGAUAGACAGUUAAGUGCAGAGACAGAAAUAGCCAGCCUAG